rnacentral:tRNA from 1 species
GAAGAUAUAGCUCAGUGGUAGAGUGCAUGCUUAGCAUGCACGAGGUCCUGGAUUCAAUCCCUACUACCUCCA